GGAUAGGGCCACACUUAUUUCUUUUCUUUUUGGUUUCACAUGGCUCACUCUUCUUACUUAGACGUGAUUCCCAUCAAUAAACAAUGAGAAACACACACAAGCAGCACGCUUCUCUUCUUCAGAUUUUUCUUUUCUUUUUUUCCUUUUUCUCCUCUUUGUUCUCCCGCACAGAUCAGCCCUUCCCCUUUCUUUCUUUUCCCUUCUUUCUUCUUUCUCUCCUCGUGCGUUACCAUUCCUCUUCUCUUUGGCUCAGGUGGUGAACACCCGAGUGGGACCCGACUAGUGGGUCAACAACGGUAGAAUCAGACGACGUCGGCGGGGCAGAGGGCGCGACUUCCGGUGUGUCGUCACCGGUGAACCUUGGAGACACGAUCUCCGGUGAUGUGAAGUGAUUUCCAACGAAAAUCGGUGGGGAUUUCCAGAUUUAGGGGGCUUAGAAUUCCAGAUUUAUGGGAUCAUGUCAUAGUUGGAGACUUCAACGGGUUCUCCAAUGUAGAGUUCGAGUCGUGAGUCCAAUGCAGCCAAGAUGAUGUUUCUUUGGCUGCAGGUACUUCGGUAUAGUCGAUGGAUCGGUAGCAGUGUGCUUGGGAUAUUAUGACUGAAGCUCGCCGCGACAGUUGUAAUUGUCGGACCACGGGUGUCCACUAUUUUAUAGGUUUGGUAUGGCUUGUGACGUUUGUGUCACUUAUUCUUUGUUAAGCCAUUAUUGUUAUAGUGUUAAUAAGACUCAAAUAGAUAGAUGUUAAAUGGUUCUUUGUUAUAAUUAACUUGUGAUAGAUGUAUAAGUUGUAAUUUCCGCUAUUCAGAUUUAUGUUUUCCGCUGCAUAGAUAGAUGUAUGUUAUACUCUGAUUAUCAAGUACAUGUUAUGGGGCAUGUGCUAUAUGUUGGCUGAGCGACACGUAGUCGUGCCACUGCGAU